GGGUCCAAUCUGCUGAAGAAAAUGGCUUUAGGGAAACCCAGUUGUAGAUCUGAGGGCCCCUGCUCUUCAGGGGGCCAUCUCCCUCCCGGGGCCUUAUAUCAGCAAGUGGUGCACACAAGCAAAUGCCAGGGCGUGGUUUCCUGUUUAAAUGUAGCCUCCCCCGCUGCAGAACUGCAGAGCCUGCUGAAUUCCAGCUAACCAGGGCAGUCAACAGAGCUCCAGACAAUGUCUGUCUCCUUCCUCAUCGUCCUCCCCGUGCUGGGCCUCCCAUGGGGUGUCCUGUCACAGGAGCAGCUGCAGGAGUCAGGUCCAGGACUGGUGAAGCCCUCACAGACCCUGUCACUCACCUGUGCCAUCUCCGGGGACAGUGUCUCUAGCAACAGUGCUGCUUGGAACUGGAUCAGGCAGUCGCCAUCAAGAGGCCUUGAGUGGCUGGGAAGGACAUACUACAGGUCCAAGUGAUAUAAUGAUUAUGCACUAUCUGUGCAAAGUCGAAUAACCAUCAACCCAGACACAUCCAAGAACCAGUUCUCCCUGCAGCUGAGCUCUGUGACCCCCGAGGACACGGCCGUGUAUUACUGUGCAAGAGACACAGUGAGGGGAAGUCAGCGUGAGCCCAGACACAAACCUCCCUGCAGAGAGGCUCAGGACCCCAGAGGGCACCCAGCACUGCCAGCCCAGGGCCCAGACCAGGAGCAGGUAUGGAGUUAAGCAAAAAUGGAACUUCCUGCUGUGUCUUAAAUUGUUUUUUCAGCUCAGCAACAGAGAUCAUAGAAAACCCUUUUCCAUAUUUUUGAAAUCUGUUCUUAGUCUAAUGCAGAUUCCCUUAUAUGUGACUUAAUGCUUUUCUCUUGCUGUUUUUGGAAUUCUUUCUCUUUGACUUUUGACAAUUGGACUUUUGAUAGCCUGCCUCAGAGAGGUUCUAUUUCAGGUCAUUUGAGCCUCCUGGAUCUGGAUGCCCCUAUCUCUCCAAAGACAGAAAGUUUUCAGCUAUUAUUUCAUUAAAUGUGUUUUCUACACCAUUUCCCUUCUCUUUUGGAAUACCUGUAAUGCAAAUAUUUGUCCACUUAAUUGUGUCCCGUAAAUCCUGGGGAUUUUCUUCAUUCCUUUUUACUCUUUUUUCUCUUUUUAUUCAUCUGCCUGAACUAUUUCAUAAGAUCUGU